rnacentral:rRNA from 1 species
UGAAUACGAGAUGCUACGGCGUCGAAGCAGUCUAUGUCAUACUUCCAAGAAAAGCUUGCACUGUCAUAAACAAAUAAUGCCUGUACCAUAACCGACACAGGUGGGUAGGUAGAGUAUACUAAGGGGCGCGAGAUAACUCUCUCUAAGGAACUCGGCAAAAUGACUCCGUAACUUCGGGAGAAGGAGUGCCUUAUUUAUAAGGUUGCAAUAACAAGAUCCAAGCAAUUGUUUACCAAAAACACAGGUCUCCGCUAAGUCGUAAGACGAUGUAUGGGGGCUGACGCCUGCCCAGUGCCAGAAGGUUAAAGAAGUUGGUUAGCAUCCGCGAAGCUGAUAACUGAAGCCCUGGUGAACGGCGGCCGUAACUAUAACGGUCCUAAGGUAGCGAAAUUCCUUGUCGGGUAAGUUCCGACCCGCACGAAAGGCGUAAUGAUUUGGAUACUGUCUCGGAGAGGGGCUCGGUGAAAUAGACUUGUCUGUGAAGAUGCGGACUACCUGCACCAGGACAGAAAGACCCUAUGAAGCUUUACUGUAACCUGAAAUUGAAAUUGGACUUUACUUGCGCAGUAUAGGUGGGAGGCGUUGAGAAUAUUCUUGCGGGAUUAUUGGAGCCAUCAGUGAGAUACCACUCUUGUAAUGUUAGAUUUCUAACUUUGUAUCAUUAUCUGGUCAAAGAACAGUUUCAGGCGGGCAGUUUGACUGGGGCGGUCGCCUCCUAAACGGUAACGGAGGCGCACAAAGGUUUCCUCUGAACGGGUAGAAAUCGUAUCUAGAGUGUAAAGGCAUAAGGAAGCUUGACUGUGAGACCUACAAGUCGAGCAGGGACGAAAGUCGGUCUUAGUGAUCUGACGGUGCUGAGUGGAAAGGCCGUCACUCAACGGAUAAAAGUUACUCUAAGGAUAACAGGCUGAUCUCCCCCAAGAGUUCACAUCGACGGGGAGGUUUGGCACCUCGAUGUCGGCUCAUCGCAUCCUGGGGCGGUAGUACGUCCCAAGGGUUGGGCUGUUCGCCCAUGAAAGCGGUACGCGAGCUGGGUUCAGAACGUCGUGAGACAGUUCGGUCCAUAUCCGGUGUAGGCGUUAGAAUAUUGAGAGAGCCUUCUUUAGUACGAGAGGACCGAGAAGGACAUACCUCUGGUGUACCAGUUAUCGUGCCAACGGUAAACGCUGGGUAGCUAUGUGUGGAGUGGAUAACCGCUGAAAGCAUCUAAGUGGGAAGCCCACCUCAAGAUAAGUAUUCU